GCGGCUGUGGUGUAUGGAAUACGGCUGCUUUCGUUGCACAGUUGAGCAAGCUGGAGCAGCAGAUCCGGGUUCGACUCCCGGCGCCCGCG